GGGAAUUAACGAAUAACAGCGGCAAAAAUCAAAAGACGACUAAAAAUUAAUGGGCUAAUAAAUAUUCCAAAAUCACAAAAAAACAAAAUCUACAAAAUAGAUGAAUUUUCUUUACAAUGAUUUUAGAUGCCACAAAGAGCAAUAGAUAGAUCUAAGUUGAUAUUACGUUUUCCUGAAGAAGACCCAGAACAGUCUUUCAAACUAGACCCAGAGAAUGCCUCGCUAAUCUCACUCGUACAUGACGCAUUACUUCUCUGUGACGAUGCAUGGGGCAAUGAAAGCGAUAACGACAAUUCGCAGCAGCCACCACCCUUUUCAUCUUCUGUUCUUACACCUCUAGUAGCCUCAGGUUUGCAUGAUUGUGCAGCUGCUUUGCACUUUCCAUGCUCUAGCUUGGCAAUCUUGAGGAAAUCAGAUUCUUCCACUGCAUAUUUGAAGGAGUUGAGGCCGCAAAGAUCGUGUGGCAGAGAGAAGGCAGUGGGUUUGGACUUGGAAUGGGUCCGCUCGCAUCUGAAACCACCACCGUUACCCUCUUUUAUUCCCGUAUAAUCAUCAAUAGAGUACGGAUUCGUGACUGUCUCACAUAUUCCUUGGCUGCAUUGCAGGUUCUGAUCAGAGAUUGAACUCCUGGUCUCGAUUCUUGCUCUUUUUGAAUGGACGGCAUCGUAGAUGAAGUGAGAAUCUGAUUCUUCAAUAGGUUUUAAUUCAUCUACACACCCAUCAUGGUCCUCGAAAAAUUGUCUUCUUUGAUGGGUAGAGCCUCUAUCUUGUCUGCCCAGAUCACUCCUCAUGCUUCUAUACAUCUGGAGAUGACUCUUCACAUGUGAAAUGGUGAGUCCUUUCACAUCCAUCAACUGAAGAACCAAUUUAGGCGUGGCUUUGUCUUGACCACCAAGCCUUUCAAUGGCAUGAACAAAACAGUGGUGCAGCUCAGGAGUCCAUUUCAAACGAGGCACCUUUGACCUUAUAUACUGCCUAACAGUCCCACUUCUUCCACAACUACCCAUGUGUUGUUCUUGUUCUUAUCUCCUCCUGUAAUAAUCCCUUCGUAAUCCAACUUAACAACUGAAAAAAAAUUCCUCCUUUACGCUUCAAACCAACGUUUCACCGACUGGAUCCUCUUAAAACCUAAAAAAACCUCUCUUUUGAUACUUUCCACCCUCUAAAUGGCCUUAGAUUGCUUGGUCGUCGUUGUACAUAAUCUCGUUGAAAGUGUGGAGCUAAGGUUAUAUAUAUAGCAGCAGCAACACGAGAGAGUGAUUCUGAUUCAUAAGCAGGAAAGGAAACAAAGAAAGAAAUAUUCUGAAGCGUAUCAAAGCAAGCAGGGUUAU
rnacentral:misc_RNA from 1 species